UACGUAGGGGGCAAGCGUUGUCCGGAAUCAUUGGGCGUAAAGCGCGUGUAGGCGGCUCGGUAAGUCUGCUGUGAAAGUCCAGGGCUCAACCCUGGGAUGCCGGUGGAUACUGUCGAGCUCGAGUCCGGAAGAGGCGAGUGGAAUUCCUGGUGUAGCGGUGAAAUGCGCAGAUAUCGGGAGGAACACCAAUGGCGAAGGCAGCUCGCUGGGACGGUACUGACGCUGAGACGCGAAAGCGUGGGGAGCAAACAGG
rnacentral:rRNA from 1 species